rnacentral:rRNA from 1 species
GGAUAACGUUUGGAAACGAACGCUAAUACCGCAUGAUAUUAUUGAGCUGCAUGGCUUGAUAAUCAAAGGAGCAAUCCGCUGAAAGAUGGGCUCGCGUCCGAUUAGGUAGUUGGCGGGGCAACGGCCCACCAAGCCGACGAUCGGUAGCCGGACUGAGAGGUUGAACGGCCACAUUGGGACUGAGACACGGCCCAGACUCCUACGGGAGGCAGCAGUGAGGGAUAUUGGUCAAUGGGGGAAACCCUGAACCAGCAACGCCGCGUGAGGGAAGACGGUUUUCGGAUUGUAAACCUCUGUCCUCUGUGAAGAUAAUGACGGUAGCAGAGGAGGAAGCUCCGGCUAACUACGUGCCAGCAGCCGCGGUAAUACGUAGGGAGCAAGCGUUGUCCGGAUUUACUGGGUGUAAAGGGUGCGUAGGUGGCUUUGCAAGUCAGAAGUGAAAUCCAUGGGCUUAACCCAUGAACUGCUUUUGAAACUGCAGAGCUUGAGUGGAGUAGAGGUAGGCGGAAUUCCCGGUGUAGCGGUGAAAUGCGUAGAGAUCGGGAGGAACACCAGUGGCGAAGGCGGCCUGCUGGGCUCUAACUGACGCUGAGGCACGAAAGCGUGGGUAGCAAACAGGAUUAGAUACCCUGGUAGUCCACGCUGUAAACGAUGAUUACUAGGUGUGGGUGGACUGACCCCAUCCGUGCCGGA